rnacentral:rRNA from 1 species
GACGAACGCUGGCGGCGUGCCUAAUACAUGCAAGUCGAACGCAGUGGGGACGGGUGAGUAACACGUGGGUAACCUCCCAUCAGAGGGGAUAACACUUGGAAACAGGUGCUAAACCGAUACUGAUGGAUGGACCCGCGGUGCAUUAGGUAGUUGGUGAGGUAAAGGCUCACCAAGCCGACGAUCUCUAGCUUGUCUGAGAGGAUGACCAGCCACACUGGGACUGAGACACGGCCCAGACUCCUACGGGAGGCAGCAGUGGGGAAUAUUGCGCAAGGGGGGCAACCCUGACGCAGCCAUGCCGCGUGUCUGAAGAAGGCCUUCGGGUUGUAAAGGACUUUUGUCAGGGAAGCGGUACCUGAAGAAUAAGCACCGGCUAACUACGUGCCAGCAGCCGCGGUAAUAC